rnacentral:tRNA from 1 species
GGAGGAAUUGGACUCAGUCUAGCAUGAUUUAGGAUCAUGUGCCGCAAGGCGUAGGGGUUCAAAUCCCCCCUUCCCCAC